CUCGCGCGCCUGCCCCUCUCCCAAAACCCACUCUCUUGCGCCCGCGCCUCUCCCAAAACCCAAUCCCUCUCUCUCGCGCCCCCUGUUUCCCAACCUCUCUCUCUCGCUAGGGUUUUCAAAACCCCCUUUCGCUGCAAACUCGUCGUUGAUAUGUGAUCACACCAUGUGCUAGGGUUUUCGAAACCCCUUUCAUCCUAUCCUCGUCAGCACCUCGUCUCCUCCACCAGCCGCAGCCCCUGUGACCACAAAUUUCGUCCGCAGCCACCGUCCCUGCUCCACCAGCGUCGCCACCUCCACCGAUCGACGCCAACAUUUGCCCCAUCGAGAGCUCGAUUCGGAGUUUUAGCUGAUUUUUCUUGUUUCAAAUCAAGGGUUUUCUGUUUUAGAAUAUCUUUUCUUUUUCCCUUUUCAUAUUAUAUAAUUUUUUUUUUAACUUUUAGCCAUUUUUCCCCGUUCGAUUCGAUGGGGAUAGUGAUUUUUUGAUGAAAUUGAAAAUUUCUGUGUGGUUGUUAUAUAUGAUGGGGAAUCUAGCCUGUGCAGAGUGCACAUGGUAGUUAUCCUGUUCCCCUAGUGGGCCCCGCCGCCAAGCUGCAACCGUGGGAUGCUCCUACUGAUCCGUAAUGGGAGGGUGUAAGAGAAUGUUGUCAGGUGAGGACAUUGGAAGGGAAAAUGCUCAACCCAUUUCCAAGUGACUGGACUACUACCUGAUGUAGUCGGUACUACUUGCAAUCAACAUCUUGAGAAAGUACUUGGAACAGAUCAUGCAAGCAUUCUGCGUGUUCCAUUCAGAAUGGAGAAGGGAAUUCUCCAGACUUAUAUGGAGGCCCCAAUCUGCAUUUGAAAAGAAUGUUGAGGUUAUAUUCAUGAAUGCUUCUAAUCAAACUUGCUGAAAUUACAAUACCAAUUGAAAGUAGCAAGGAAUCUAGCUAAUCUCUAAUCAAUAUGCAGUUUGCUGGUAAUGAGAAUGGCAUCACUGCAUUUCAGAUGGAAGGUCAAGACAAAUCAAAUCAACAGAACUCAGUUUUUUCAGGAGAUGCUUUGUUUCUUGUCCAUUGGAAAGACAGGUUUUUAAAUGUCAAGUUUUUUGUCAUGUUGAUUCAGGUUUUUUGUCAUCUUGAUUCAAGUUUUUAAUUUUAAUUUUAAUUUUAUUUUGUUGUUGAAGCAUGUAUGUUUCUAUUGCCACUUGUAUACAGGUUUCUAUUGCCACUUGUAUGUUUCUAUUGCCACUUGUUUAAUAUUGCAAGUAAAGGUUCUAAUGAUUUGGUAGUGGGCCUAGCCUCUAAAGGAAUCCGCCAAUCAGCCCUUUGGAUUAGGACUUCUUUUCCCUACUCUUUUCUUUGAUUUAGUUGCUUUUGUUGCUUGCUCCAAAAAAAAAAAAAAAAAAAAAGUCGUGUCAAUCUGCAAUGCAUGUAUUAGGUGAAAUGCUCUGUCUAUCAAUGAUGAGUUUUUUUAAAGGCUGGUGGGUCUAGUUAGUAGAAAGGUGCCAUAGAGAACCACCUAUUGCUUAGAGAAGCCAGCCUUUUGUCUCCUGGUCUAUUCAUCAUGCGAGUCCCAUCCUAGGGGAAAAUAUUUGUGUACCUACAUGUUUGUAAUGGUCUAGUAACAGUGUUAUAACCUGAGUAGUUUUUUGCUAACACACAUGGGCCUUUCCUACUGUCUAAUAUGCUUUUAAAGUUUUGCAUUAACAUGUGUCUCAACCAUGAAUGAUGAAUGCUCUCAGUCUAGUUGGUCUCUCUCUUUUGACACAGUAGUAUAGAACUUCGACAGCUGCAGCAGCUACACUGACCAUUAUUUUGAGAGAAAAAAUGUGCAAGUUGUCAUAUUACAAAACAUGGCAUAGUGUUUACUCUUAUAAUCAUCUUAUAAUAGAAUUAGCGAAUGGAAUUUGUCAAUUUCUUUCCCAUAAUGUGACUUGUUUUUUGUUCAUGUUACAACG